AAUCAACGCUGGCGGCGUGCCUAACACAUGCAAGUCGAACGCGAAAGCCCCGCAAGGGGCGAGUAGAGUGGCAAACGGGUGAGUAACGCGUGGGUGACCUGCCUUCGAGUGGGGGAUAACGUCUCGAAAGGGACGCUAAUACCGCAUGACAUCUUGCCUUUGAAGAGGUGAUGAUCAAAGCCGGGGUCGCAAGACCUGGCGCUUGAAGAGGGGCCCGCGUCCGAUUAGCUAGUUGGUGAGGUAACGGCCCACCAAGGCGACGAUCGGUAUCCGGCCUAAGAGGGCGGACGGACACACUGGGACUGAGACACGGCCCAGACUCCUACGGGAGGCAGCAGUGGGGAAUUGUUCGCAAUGGGCGCAAGCCUGACGACGCAACGCCGCGUGGAGGAUGAAGAUCUUCGGGUCGUAAACUCCUGUCGAGCGGGACGAAAGAUCCGCGACCGAAUACGUCGCGGAAGUGACGGUA
rnacentral:rRNA from 1 species